rnacentral:rRNA from 1 species
AGCAGUGGGGAAUAUUGGACAAUGGGCGCAAGCCUGAUCCAGCAAUGCCGCGUGUGUGAAGAAGGCCUUCGGGUUGUAAAGCACUUUUAUCAGGAGCGAAAUGCCAUCGGCCAAUACCCGGUGGAGCUGACGGUACCUGAGGAAUAAGCACCGGCUAACUUCGUGCCAGCAGCCGCGGUAAUACGAAGGGUGCAAGCGUUAAUCGGAAUUACUGGGCGUAAAGCGUGCGUAGGCGGUUUCUUAAGUCUGCUGUGAAAUCCCCGGGCUCAACCUGGGAAUGGCAGUGGAUACUGGGGAGCUAGAGUGUGAUAGAGGAUGGUGGAAUUCCCGGUGUAGCGGUGAAAUGCGUAGAGAUCGGGAGGAACAUCAGUGGCGAAGGCGGCCAUCUGGAUCAACACUGACGCUGAGGCACGAAAGCGUGGGGAGCAAACAGGAUUAGAU